rnacentral:rRNA from 1 species
GACGAACGCUGGCGGCGUGCUUAACACAUGCAAGUCGAACGGAAAGGCCCCUUUGGGGGUACUCGAGUGGCGAACGGGUGAGUAACACGUGAGUAACCUGCCCUUGACUUCGGGAUAACUUCAGGAAACUGGGGCUAAUACCAGAUAGGAAUCCUUGCUGCAUGGUGGGGGUUGGAAAGCUUCGGCGGUUUUGGAUGGACUCGCGGCUUAUCAGCUUGUUGGUGGGGUAGUGGCUUACCAAGGCUUUGACGGGUAGCCGGCCUGAGAGGGCGACCGGCCACAUUGGGACUGAGAUACGGCCCAGACUCCUACGGGAGGCAGCAGUGGGGAAUAUUGCACAAUGGGCGGAAGCCUGAUGCAGCAACGCCGCGUGCGGGAUGACGGCCUUCGGGUUGUAAACCGCUUUCAGCAGGGGCGAAGCUUGUGGUGACGGUACCUGCAGAAGAAGCACCGGCUAACUACGUG